rnacentral:rRNA from 1 species
CAACAGCUCAAAUUUGAAAUCUGGCUCUUUCAGGGUCCGAGUUGUAAUUUGUAGAGGGCGCUUUGGUGUUGGCUGCGGUCUAAGUUCCUUGGAACAGGACGUCACAGAGGGUGAGAAUCCCGUACGUGGUCGACAGUCUUCACCGUGUAAAGCCCCUUCGACGAGUCGAGUUGUUUGGGAAUGCAGCUCUAAAUGGGAGGUAAAUUUCUUCUAAAGCUAAAUAUUGGCCAGAGACCGAUAGCGCACAAGUAGAGUGAUCGAAAGAUGAAAAGCACUUUGGAAAGAGAGUCAAAAAGCACGUGAAAUUGUUGAAAGGGAAGCGCUUGCAACCAGACUUGCCUGCAGUUGCUCAUCCAGUCUUCUGACCGGUGCACUCUUCUGUAGGCAGGCCAGCAUCAGUUCGGGCGGCUAGAUAAAGACCUCUGUCACGUAUCUUCCUUCGGGAUGACCUUAUAGGGGAGGUGUAAUGUAGCCAGCCUGGAUUGAGGUCCGCGCAUCUGCUAGGAUGCUGGCGUAAUGGUUGUAAGCGGCCCGUCUUGAAACACGGACCAAGGAGUCUAACAUCUAUGCGAGUGUUUGGGUGUAAAGCCCGGACGCGUAAUGAAAGUGAACGGAGG